AAUCAGGGGGAUAGCCCGAAGAAAUUCGGAUUAACACCGCAUAAAAACACAGUACAGCAUUGUACAAUGUUCAAAUAUUUAUAGGAUUAAGAUGGGCAUGCGUGACAUUAGUUAGUUGGCGGGGUAACGGCCCACCAAGACCACGAUGUCUAGGGGAUCUGAGAGGAUGACCCCCCACACUGGUACUGAGACACGGACCAGACUCCUACGGGAGGCAGCAGUAAGGAAUAUUGGUCAAUGGGGGCAACCCUGAACCAGCCAUGCCGCGUGCAGGAAGACAGCCCUCUGGGUCGUAAACUGCUUUUAUUCGGGAAUAAACCUCAGUACGUGUACUGAGCUGAAUGUACCGAAGGAAUAAGGAUCGGCUAACUCCGUGCCAGCAGCCGCGGUAAUACGGAGGAUCCAAGCGUUAUCCGGAUUUAUUGGGUUUAAAGGGUGCGUAGGCGGCUUUUUAAGUCAGGGGUGAAAGACGUUAGCUCAACUAACGCAGUGCCCUUGAUACUGAAGAGCUUGAAUGGACUAGAGGUAGGCGGAAUGUGACAAGUAGCGGUGAAAUGCAUAGAUAUGUCACAGAACACCGAUUGCGAAGGCAGCUUACUAUGGUUUAAUUGACGCUGAGGCACGAAAGCGUGGGGAUCAAAC
rnacentral:rRNA from 1 species